GACGUAGGGCGCGAGCGUUGUCCGGAUUUAUUGGGCGUAAAGAGCUCGUAGGCGGCUUGUCGCGUCUGCUGUGAAAAGACCGGGGCUCAACUCCGGUUCUGCAGUGGGUACGGGCAGACUAGAGUGAUGUAGGGGAGACUGGAAUUCCUGGUGUAGCGGUGAAAUGCGCAGAUAUCAGGAGGAACACCGAUGGCGAAGGCAGGUCUCUGGGCAUUAACUGACGCUGGAGGAGCGAAAGCGUGGGGAGCGAACAGG
rnacentral:rRNA from 1 species